rnacentral:rRNA from 1 species
UACGUAGGGUGCGAGCGUUAAUCGGAAUUACUGGGCGUAAAGCGUGCGCCGGCGGUUUUGUAAGCCAGAUGUGAAAUCCCCGGGCUUAACCUGGGAAUGGCAUUUGGGACUGCAAGGCUGGAGUUUGGCAGAGGAGACUGGAAUUCCUGGUGUAGCAGUGAAAUGCGUAGAUAUCAGGAGGAAUACCGAUGGCGAAGGCAGGUCUCUGGGCUAUAACUGACGCUCAUGCACGAAAGCGUGGGGAGCAAACAGG